GCAGAAUUCCGCGAAUCAUCGAGUCUUUGAACGCAAGUUGCGCCCGAGGCUUGUCCAAGGGCAUUUCCGCUAGAGCGUCNCC
rnacentral:rRNA from 2 species